GAUGAAGAAGGUAGCGAAAUGCGAUAAGUCAUGUGAAUUGCAGAAUUCAGUGAAUCAUCGAAUCUUUGAACGCACAUUGCGCCCGCUGGUAUUCCGGCGGGCAUGCCUGUUCGAACGUCAUUUCAACCCUCAAGCUCUCCGGAGUUUGGUGUUGGGGCGCCUGGGGCUUUUCGACCUCAGGGCCCUCAAGUCCAUCGGCGGGACCGCCAGGACACUGAGCGCAGUAGUAUUAUUUCGCUCGGUAGGAUCUUCCACGGCGGGUCGAUCUGGCCGCUAAACCCCCCAAUUCUCACCAAAGGUUGACCUCGGAUCAGGUAGGAAUACCCGCUGAACUUAAGCAUAUCAAUAAGCGGAGGA
rnacentral:misc_RNA from 1 species